rnacentral:rRNA from 1 species
AUUGAACGCUGGCGGCAUGCCUUACACAUGCAAGUCGAACGGCAGCGGACCUUCGGGUGCCGGCGAGUGGCGAACGGGUGAGUAAUAUAUCGGAACGUACCUUUCAGUGGGGGAUAACGUAGCGAAAGUUACGCUAAUACCGCAUAUUCUGUGAGCAGGAAAGCAGGGGAUCGCAAGACCUUGCGCUGAUUGAGCGGCCGAUAUCAGAUUAGCUAGUUGGUGAGGUAAUGGCUCACCAAGGCUUAGACGUCUAGGGGGUGUGAGAGCAUGGCCCCCACCACUGGGACUGAGAUACUGCCCAGACACCUACGGGUGGCUGCAGUCGAGAAUCUUCGGCAAUGGGCGCAAGCCUGACCGAGCAACGCCGCGUGCGGGAUGAAGGCCCUUGGGUUGUAAACCGCUGUCAGGGGGGAUGAAAGCGCAAGCUUGACAGAGCCCCAGAGGAAGCACGGGCUAAGUUCGUGCCAGCAGCCGACGG